CGGGACCCUGGGGAGUGGAAGAGGGAGAGGGCAAAGCUGGCAGAUAGCUGCUGGGGGGAAUCAUUUAGGAUCUGGGUUAGUCCAGGCGCUCCUGCAUGCCUGGGUUCCUCUCUGGGCUCUGGUGACUUGUCGAUAGCAGGCGUGUUCUCCUGAUUCAUUUUGAUCGCUGUCAAGAUGGUGAUCAAAGUCUUUGUAGCCACAUCCUCGGGGUCUACAGCGAUCAAAAAGAAACAGCAAGAAGUAGUGGGCUUUUUAGAGGCCAACAAGAUUGACUUUCAGCAAAUGGACAUAGCAGGUGAUGAGGACAACAGGAAAUGGAUGAGAGAGAACGUCCCAGGUGAAAAAAAGCCUCAAAAUGGAAUCCCUCUCCCUCCACAGAUCUUCAAUGAGGAACGGUACUGUGGGGACUUCGAAUCCUUUUUUUCUGCUAAAGAAGAAAAUAUUGUUUAUUCAUUCCUGGGUCUUGCUCCUCCUCCAGGCACAGAGGAGACUGAAAAGUCUGAAGCCACUGAAGUAAAUGAGGCACAUGCAGAAGCCAACGCAGAUGAAGAGGCUCAGUCUGCUCAGUCACCAUCAGAAGAUCAACAGGAAGACAAGGAAGAACAUGCAGCAGCAGGGGAAGAAGAAGAAAAGCAGGAAGAGGGAGAAGAAAAGGAAGAGGUGGAGGAGGAGACAGAGGAGCAAGAAGAGUCUUAGUACACUUUCUUAUGACACAUUCUUUCUUGAAAAGGUUUUCAGGUAACUAUUAAGUGCACGCUGGAGCAGUACCACCAGAGAAAAUAAAAUCACCCUCUCAAAUAAACUGUCAUUGUCUUUCAUGCCUGCACACAUAUGAGGAUUUAAAUAUAGCAGAACAAAGACACCACUUAGUGCUACUUUUCGCCUUUGUAUAUAUAUUUGGUAUUAUAAUUGCUUGUUAAACGGGGUCCUCUUCUAUCUGACUUACGAUAUUUCACUUGAUUGUUAUACGUUGGAAUAGUAUUGUCCAUGUCAAAUUUUAGAUUGUAAGCUCCUCAGGGCAGGAACCAUGUCUUUUUCCAUGUUUGUGUACUGCCAGUCACACUGCUGCCACUCAGCAUAUAACUGCACUUUCACAGUGAAGUUGCAUUCAGAGAAAAAGAAAAUCAGCACUGAAAAAUGCAAAGAUGCUUCCUGUAUACAAGCUUUGUGAGUUCUCCCUCAGCUGGCUUUUGAAAAUGAUUGAGAUUUCCACUGUACAGCAGUUUAAAUAAAUACAUUUUGUGUCA